CGAGCGUACACAGGUGCUGCAUGGACUGUCGUCAGCUCGUGUCGUGAGAUGUUGGGUUUAAGUCCCGCAACGAGCGCAACCCCUGCAUUCAGUUGCCAUCGGGUAAUGCCGGGCACUCUGGAAGGACUGCCAUCGACAAGAUGGAGGAAGGUGGGGAUGACGUCAAGUCAUCAUGGCCCUUAUGUCCAGGGCGACACACGUGCUACAAUGGCCGGCACAACGGGAAGCGAGUUCGCGAGGACGAGCGGAUCCCUCAAAGCCGGUCGCAGUUCGGAUUGAAGUCUGCAACUCGACUUCAUGAAGCUGGAAUCGCUAGUAAUCGUGGAUCAGCCAAGCCGCGGUGAAUACGUUCCCGGGCCUU
rnacentral:rRNA from 1 species